rnacentral:rRNA from 1 species
UACAGAGGUGGCAAGCGUUGUUCGGAUUUAUUGGGCGUAAAGGGUCCGUAGGCGGUUUGGAAAGUCGGGUGUGAAAUCCCACAGCUUAACUGUGGAACUGCACUCGAAACUUCCAGACUAGAGUAUGAGAGGGGUAAAGGGAAUUCCCGGUGUAAGGGUGAAAUCUGCAGAGAUCGGGAGGAACACCAGUCGCGAAGGCGCUUUACUGGCUCAUUACUGACGCUCAGGGACGAAAGCUAGGGGAGCAAACGGG